CCUACGGGCGGCAGCAGUAGGGAAUCUUCCACAAUGGGCGAAAGCCUGAUGGAGCAACGCCGCGUGGGUGAAGAAGGUCUUCGGAUCGUAAAACUCUGUUGUUAGAGAAGUAAGUGCGUGAGAGUAACUGUUCACGUUUCGACGGUAUCUAACCAGAAAGCCACGGUUAACUACGUGCCAUCCGCCGCGGCCAUACGUAGGUGGCAAGCGUUUUCCGGAUUUAUUGGGCGUAAAGGGAACGCAGGCGGUCUGUUAAGUCUGAUGUGAAAGCCUUCGGCUUAACCGGAGUAGUGCAUUGGAAACUGUGAGACUUGAGUGCAGAAGAGGAAGGUGGAACUCCAUGUGUAGCGGUGAAAUGCGUAGAUAUAUGGAAGAACACCAGUGGCGAAGGCGGCUCUCUGGUCUGUAACUGACGCUGAGGUUCGAAAGCGUGGGUAGCAAACAGGAUUAGAUACCCGAGUAGUC
rnacentral:rRNA from 1 species